rnacentral:rRNA from 1 species
GGUUAAGCGACUAAGCGUACACGGUGGAUGCCCUGGCAGUCAGAGGCGAUGAAGGACGUGCUAAUCUGCGAAAAGCGUCGGUAAGGUGAUAUGAACCGUUACAGCCGGCGAUGUCCGAAUGGGGAAACCCAGUGCAAUUCGUUGCACUAUCGUUUGAUGAAUACAUAGUCAAACGAGGCGAACCGGGGGAACUGAAACAUCUAAGUACCCCGAGGAAAAGAAAUCAACCGAGAUUCCCCCAGUAGCGGCGAGCGAACGGGGAGCAGCCCGGAGUCUGAAUCAGCUUGUGUGUUAGUGGAAGCGUCUGGAAAGUCGCAGGGUACAGGGUGAUACUCCCGUACACUAAAACAUACAGGUUGUGAACUCGAAGAGUAGGGCGGGACACGUGGUAUCCUGUCUGAAUAUGGGGGGACCAUCCUCCAAGGCUAAAUACUCCUGACUGACCGAUAGUGAACCAGUACCGUGAGGGAAAGGCGAAAAGAACCCCGGCGAGGGGAGUGAAAAAGAACCUGAAACCGUGUACGUACAAGCAGUAGGAGCCCACUUGUUGGGUGACUGCGUACCUUUUGUAUAAUGGGUCAGCGACUUAUAUUCUGUAGCAAGGUUAACCGUAUAGGGGAGCCGCAGGGAAACCGAGUCUUAACUGGGCGUUAAGUUGCAGGGUAUAGACCCGAAACCCGGUGAUCUAGCCAUGGGCAGGUUGAAGGUUGGGUAACACUAACUGGAGGACCGAACCGACUAAUGUUGAAAAAUUAGCGGAUGACUUGUGGCUGGGGGUGAAAGGCCAAUCAAACCGGGAGAUAGCUGGUUCUCCCCGAAAGCUAUUUAGGUAGCGCCUCGUGAAUUCAUCUUCGGGGGUAGAGCACUGUUUCGGCUAGGGGGUCAUCCCGACUUACCAACCCGAUGCAAACUACGAAUACCGAAGAAUGUUAUCACGGGAGACACACGGCGGGUGCUAACGUCCGUCGUGAAGAGGGAAACAACCCAGACCGCCAGCUAAGGUCCCAAAGUCAUGGUUAAGUGGGAAACGAUGUGGGAAGGCCCAGACAGCCAGGAUGUUGGCUUAGAAGCAGCCAUCAUUUAAAGAAAGCGUAAUAGCUCACUGGUCGAGUCGGCCUGCGCGGAAGAUGUAACGGGGCUAAACCAUGCACCGAAGCUGCGGCAGCGACACUAUGUGUUGUUGGGUAGGGGAGCGUUCUGUAAGCCGUUGAAGGUGGCCUGUGAGGGUUGCUGGAGGUAUCAGAAGUGCGAAUGCUGACAUAAGUAACGAUAAUGCGGGUGAAAAACCCGCACGCCGGAAGACCAAGGGUUCCUGUCCAACGUUAAUCGGGGCAGGGUGAGUCGACCCCUAAGGCGAGGCCGAAAGGCGUAGUCGAUGGGAAACAGGUUAAUAUUCCUGUACUUGGUGUUACUGCGAAGGGGGGACGGAGAAGGCUAUGUUGGCCGGGCGACGGUUGUCCCGGUUUAAGCGUGUAGGUGUGUGUUCCAGGUAAAUCCGGUUCACUUUAACACUGAGGCGUGAUGACGAGGCACUACGGUGCUGAAGUGACAAAUGCCCUGCUUCCAGGAAAAGCCUCUAAGCAUCAGGUAACAUCAAAUCGUACCCCAAACCGACACAGGUGGUCAGGUAGAGAAUACCAAGGCGCUUGAGAGAACUCGGGUGAAGGAACUAGGCAAAAUGGUGCCGUAACUUCGGGAGAAGGCACGCUGAUAUGUAGGUGAAGUGGUUUACCCAUGGAGCUGAAAUCAGUCGAAGAUACCAGCUGGCUGCAACUGUUUAUUAAAAACACAGCACUGUGCAAACACGAAAGUGGACGUAUACGGUGUGACGCCUGCCCGGUGCCGGAAGGUUAAUUGAUGGGGUUAUCCGUAAGGAGAAGCUCUUGAUCGAAGCCCCGGUAAACGGCGGCCGUAACUAUAACGGUCCUAAGGUAGCGAAAUUCCUUGUCGGGUAAGUUCCGACCUGCACGAAUGGCGUAAUGAUGGCCAGGCUGUCUCCACCCGAGACUCAGUGAAAUUGAACUCGCUGUGAAGAUGCAGUGUACCCGCGGCAAGACGGAAAGACCCCGUGAACCUUUACUAUAGCUUGACACUGAACACUGGUCCUUGAUGUGUAGGAUAGGUGGGAGGCUUUGAAGCGUGGACGCCAGUCUGCGUGGAGCCAUCCUUGAAAUACCACCCUUUAAUGGCUGGUGUUCUAACGUGGGCCCCUAAUCGGGGUUGCGGACAGUGUCUGGUGGGUAGUUUGACUGGGGCGGUCUCCUCCUAAAGAGUAACGGAGGAGCACGAAGGUCAGCUAAUCCUGGUCGGACAUCAGGAGGUUAGUGCAAUGGCAUAAGCUGGCUUGACUGCGAGCGUGACGGCGCGAGCAGGUGCGAAAGCAGGUCAUAGUGAUCCGGUGGUUCUGAAUGGAAGGGCCAUCGCUCAACGGAUAAAAGGUACUCCGGGGAUAACAGGCUGAUACCGCCCAAGAGUUCAUAUCGACGGCGGUGUUUGGCACCUCGAUGUCGGCUCAUCACAUCCUGGGGCUGAAGUAGGUCCCAAGGGUAUGGCUGUUCGCCAUUUAAAGUGGUACGCGAGCUGGGUUUAGAACGUCGUGAGACAGUUCGGUCCCUAUCUGCCGUGGGCGCUGGAGAAUUGAGGGGGGCUGCUCCUAGUACGAGAGGACCGGAGUGGACGCAUCACUGGUGUUCGGGUUGUCAUGCCAAUGGCAUUGCCCGGUAGCUAAAUGCGGAAGAGAUAAGUGCUGAAAGCAUCUAAGUACGAAACUUGCCCCGAGAUGAGUUCUCCCUGACUCCUUGAGAGUCCUGAAGGAACGUUGAAGACGACGACGUUGAUAGGCCGGGUGUGUAAGCGCAGCGAUGCGUUGAGCUAACCGGUACUAAUGAACCGUGAGGCUUAACCUU